rnacentral:snoRNA from 1 species
GUGUUUUUCGGAGAUGAAUACUCAAAAUUUUUGAGUAUUAUGAUUCUCAUCUGAAUAGGAAGAUCUGAUGC